UUAGAGCAAAAGCUAACCUCGGCCAUGGUUUGCACGCCAUUUUUUUCUGGAUUUGAUUAUUUAUUUUUUCAAUUAAUUGUUGACGCAUCUAUUGUUUGAUGUGCAGGUAUUUUGGAAGCACGGUGAUUGACACUGCAAAUAUUAUUGCAACAAAAUUCUGAUCUAAUAUAUAUUGUCGCCUAGAGGAAAUUGCAAUGGGAGGUGGUUAAUUCUUUUGGAGCUUUACGACGAUGAGAAAGACUAAUGCGAGGUAUUACUAGUAUAUGACCCGUGCCGUAACGGCCCGGAAUUUGGUUUUGUUAUUGCUUAACGCCUUAUCAUUUGUUUCUUAGUAUAACAUUUUUUUCAUACAUCUUUUUUAUUUUGGUAAUACAGUGGUUC